UUACGGUCAAAUCACGCUGAAAAACCGGUUCUCGUUCGAUCACCGAAGUUAAGCAUCGUAGAGCGAUGGGGGACCGCUUGGGAACACCUGGUACUGUAAG